UCAGUCAUACCGACGAGAAAUCAACUUAUCGUGUGCGAACUUGUGGGCGUGCGUGAGUUUCGGCCUCGCUGUUUGCAUGUUUGUGCAUUUUGGGUGUACUUUUUCGUAUGGUAGGCCAACGUCAGUUUCGAUCAUCAUAAAAUGACUGGCGGAAUGUAGCUUCGAUUUCGGUUGAAGUGUUAUAGCCUCUGGUAGAUGUGGUGAUUGGGACUGAGGAUUGCAACGAAUAUCCUUUGGGCUAUCCGUCUGAUCUCUGAAAGUUGCUCAGGUGCCGAAAGCGUGCUUACGGUUAUCUGAGUUGACGGUCAACAGGUUAGAACGUGAUUACA
rnacentral:rRNA from 1 species